rnacentral:rRNA from 1 species
AUUGAACGCUGGCGGCAGGCUUAACACAUGCAAGUCGAGCGGAGAUGAGGUGCUUGCACCUUAUCUUAGCGGCGGACGGGUGAGUAAUGCUUAGGAAUCUGCCUAUUAGUGGGGGACAACAUUCCGAAAGGAAUGCUAAUACCGCAUACGUCCUACGGGAGAAAGCAGGGGAUCUCCGGACCUUGCGCUAAUAGAUGAGCCUAAGUCGGAUUAGCUAGUUGGUGGGGUAAAGGCCUACCAAGGCGACGGUCUGUAGCGGGUCUGAGAGGAUGAUCCGCCACACUGGGACUGAGACACGGCCCAGACUCCUACGGGAGGCAGCAGUGGGGAAUAUUGGACAAUGGGGGGAACCCUGAUCCAGCCAUGCCGCGUGUGUGAAGAAGGCCUUAUGGUUGUAAAGCACUUUAAGCGAGGAGGAGGCUACUGAGACUAAUACUCUUGGAUAGUGGACGUUACUCGCAGAAUAAGCACCGGCUAACUCUGUGCCAGCAGCCGCCGUAAAAC